rnacentral:tRNA from 1 species
GCGGUCGUGGCGGAAUUGGUAGACGCGCUAGCUUGAGGUGCUAGUUCCGAAAGGCGUGGAGGUUCGAGUCCUCUCGACCGCA